AAAUUUGUCUACAACAGUGAAACGUCUUGAACUGUCCAGAGAUGAACCCUUCUAAAUCUCAGACCAUUUAUCAAUUGUAUUAGAGAAAUGAAACUUUAAUUGGUUGGCAAUCUUCUAACAAAAGCAACAAAAACAAACACUAGAGAUGACGCAAACAUCCGACACAACCUCGUGGGCUUUGUUCAGGUGUAACAUGAGGAACUGAUGGCCGGCAGAUGACGCUGCUCAGACUCUCGAUUGAACUCAGUCGUAUGGGACUUACUGUGCAGUGACGUCAACACGCUGGUGAUACCUGUCUUACAUUUCCUUACAGAUCUAUUUGGUUUCUCAUUAUACUCUGAUUGAAGAUAUGACUUUCAUUGAGAUAUAACGUUUUUCGGUCCAUCUCGAAAGGUUGGUGUUCAUACCAUACAUCUCUAAGUAGCUAGUUAUGGAAUGUUUCUGGGUUUAUUUGUACAAGAAUAAAAUAAUUUUAGAACUAGUUGUUUCCGCUUGUAUCAUUAAGUAAUUUGUAGGAUUUAGUUGGCUUAAACCAUCUUUCAAUGUAGCAUCUUUCACAUUGUUGUUGUUAUUGUACUUGUUUGUUGUUGUUGUUGUUGUAGUUGUUGCUGUGUUGUUAUUGUUGUCGUU
rnacentral:sRNA from 1 species